CAGCGCGGUGGUCCCACCUGACCCCAUGCCGAACUCAGAAGUGAAACGCCGUAGCGCCGAUGGUAGUGUGGGGUCUCCCCAUGCGAGAGUAGGGAACUGCCAGGC
rnacentral:rRNA from 2 species